UGCCUUCAAGCGCUUCCCUAAAAUACCUGUAAGAGAGUUCGUGCUUAGGUAAAGCUUGAAAAUGUGCAGGAACGAAACUCUAGUUGUGUGUGUGUGAUAAAAUGUUUGCAAUUCGGGAUGAGAGAAGAAUCAAAUCUUGCACUGGGAACUCAGAUUACAGAGCUAUGAAAUUAUUGCACAGACCCAUCCAGUACAAAUAAAAGUGUUUAUUAUCUUUGUUGUGUGGCAGGAACAGCAGAGACACAAAAGAAAAAAACAGCUUAUUUGAAUAUGAAUUCUGCAUAAGGACAAGGUGUAAACAUCUUUUAAAAUAAAUCUUUGGCAGUAUUCCAUAUCUCAUCAUG